rnacentral:rRNA from 1 species
GACGAACGCUGGCGGCGUGCUUAACACAUGCAAGUCGAACGGAAAGGCCCUGCUUUUGUGGGGUGCUCGAGUGGCGAACGGGUGAGUAACACGUGAGUAACCUGCCCUUGACUUUGGGAUAACUUCAGGAAACUGGGGCUAAUACCGGAUAGGAGCUCCUGCUGCAUGGUGGGGGUUGGAAAGUUUCGGCGGUUGGGGAUGGACUCGCGGCUUAUCAGCUUGUUGGUGGGGUAGUGGCUUACCAAGGCUUUGACGGGUAGCCGGCCGGGGAGGGUGACCGGCCACAUUGGGACUGAGAUACGGACCAGACUCCUACGGGAGGCAGCAGUGGGGAAUAUUGCACAAUGGGAGGAAGCCUGAUGCAGCAACGCCGCGUGCGGGAUGACGGCCUUCGGGUUGUAAACCGCUUUCGCCUGUGACGAAGCGUGAGUGACGGUAAUGGGUAAAGAAGCACCGGCUAACUACGUG